GUCUCGAGCCGAUGCGAGCCCAUUUCCAAGCUUAAGCAACACACACAUUCUUUUUCUCUCUCUCUCUUUGAAUAUUAAGUGCAAGUUGAAGGCAGCAUCUUUAAAAUAGAUGUAGAUUAACCGUGAGACGAUCAAAAAUAGUAAUAUUUUUCGAGAAGAAACAUAAACACGUUCUUUUCAUGGAAGGAAAAUGAAGAUAAAACAAAC
rnacentral:lncRNA from 1 species